rnacentral:rRNA from 1 species
UACGUAGGGCGCAAGCGUUGUCCGGAAUUAUUGGGCGUAAAGAGCUCGUAGGCGGUUUGUCGCGUCUGCUGUGAAAACUCGAGGCUCAACCUCGGGCUUGCAGUGGGUACGGGCAGACUAGAGUGCGGUAGGGGGUGACUGGAAUUCCUGGUGUAGCGGUGGAAUGCGCAGAUAUCAGGAGGAACACCGAUGGCGAAGGCAGCUCGCUGGGACGGUACUGACGCUGGAGGCGACGAAAGCGUGGGGAGCAAACAGG